GCUGCUCUAAGAUGAGGACUAAGCCUCUAAUGGUGAACCAAAUCGCCGCAGAGCGGCGCUCACAGGAACCCGGGUCACUGUGAGUAAACAGUGUACCUUUCCCCGGGUCACUGUGAAUAAACAAUGUACCUUUCCCCGGGUCACUGUGAGUAAACAAUGUACCUUUCCCCGGGUCACUGUGAAUAAACAAUGUACCUUCCCCCUAUGUACCAGGGAUUGAACCCAGAAUCUUCACGGAAUUUCUUCUGACUUCACAAGAGCAACAGAAACUGGAGGUGGAUUCACAAGGAAGACUGAGAGUCACAAGACAGUGGCUGAGGUGAAAGCUGCAGAGUCCUUGGAUGGAGGUGUGCAGGGUCUGGCGAGGACAGGAGAGUCCCAGCAGAAACUGCAUCCUGCUUUUUCUUCUCAUCUGGUUCCACCUCCUCCAGAAAACGGUCCCAAUUUCGCAACCAUGGACCUCACCUCGCACCCUCACCACCAUAUCUCUCAUGGCCCCUGCUCCACUAAAGACAUGCCUGCCAGAUGAGAGUUUGAACUCACUGACCAGUCGGUUAAGAGGCUGCAGAGCCCUGUCUUACCAUCACCUGAUAGCAGGUUUGUGUAAUCAGAUUCUAAGCCAAAGCCAGAGAGGGAAGAGCCCUAAUAUACCUCAUAGGACCCCUAAGAGGGAGGAGACCAGGCUAAGGGCCGCCAUGCUCUGCAGCUAUGAGUGUUCUGAGCUGGCCAGUGGUCAGAGCUGGUAACCCUGUAAGGCUGAGGCAAAGGGCAGGUUUAAAGGUAGGGUCACACUACGUGGAGGAAGCCGAGCAGGAGAGGUGUGGUAAGAUCAGCUUAGUUAGAAAUCUCCUGUAUGGGGUAGGCCUCUUCCCUUGGAGCCAAGAUGAUCCUGCAGGUGACAGGAAGGAGACCCAGUACCACUCAUCCCAGCUGAGUCACAGCGAGGCCGCAUGGAGGCCUCUUGCCCUGUGCCAAGCCAGUGUCUGAAAGAAGAACUUGAGAAGCCUGCAUCCAGCUUUCCCAUGAUGUGCACCAACUGCAUGUGAGCUGCCUCUUCCCUCGGUCCCAGUUGUCAGGGAUCCGAGUAUACGGCCAGGUAUACUAGAAUCUCUCUGUCCGCUGUCAGUCAGCCAGUUCAGCUUUCUGCCAUAGCUCCGGCAGUUACUACUCAGUACCAGACUCAGAUCCUGAGGGAAGGAUUCCUUGGCUCUGAGAUGGUGCCCGGGCUUAGCACUGGUGUUAACUUGGGAGUUGACUCACAGCCCAGCACACGGCUGGUGGCCAAUCCUCUCUACCCCACAGUCUUCCCCUGCCCACUGUCAUGCAGACCAGCUGUUUACCUUUGGUACCUGAUAUGCACUCAAAACCUGCAGCCAAAGGAACCCACAGUUCCUUACACAGGGCCAACCUUUGCCUAAUGGGAUCUCAGCCACACCCCAGAGACUCAGAAAAAAAUGACUCAGGUUAGACACUGUGGCUCCGAAUGACCUCACGUGAUUCACAGCAAACAAAAUGGUGAGACCUACUGUCACCUAUCAACUCAAUUCAUUUACCCAGCAAUGGCUUCCACUGCUUCCCCCUCAUUUACCCAGCUGUGUGCAAAUAUAGACAGACCCCAACCUUGCCUGCCCUGAUGUCUGUCUCAACACUGGCAGGGAAUCCAAUCACAAGAGAUCACUCAGAGCACCCCCCCAAGCCCCCAUCCUCUAGCAGAGGUGUUGAUUGAGUUGCUCUCAGGUGGGCCUGGGAAUCUGUGUAUUUCACAGGCUCCCUGCAUGAUUCUUUGUGCAGUGGUGAAUGAGGACCACUGCGAGGAGGAUGCUAAACAAGACACAAUCUUUCCGUGCCCUGCUUAGUCACCAACACACCUGCAGCUCAUUCAUGGCUUCCACUGGUGAAUUCAACUAUGCUCAUAAUUACUCCGAUGAAUUCCAGAAUUAUUCCAUAAUUAAUUCUGUGUCUAAUGCUUUCUCCUUGGUUUUAGUAGUUUCUGAAUUUCUGUUUUGAGUCUCUGGGUUGUGAAGCAAGAGUAUCAGUUUCUAAAACACUUCCCAAAGAAAACUACUGCAUUAUAAAAACCCUACAAUGGAAAAGUAGGUCGUGAAUGAGAAGGAAGUUCAUUUUACUGUUGUUAUAUAGUUAUGAAGCCUUAAAUUCUGCUUUGUUUCUCUUAAUAUUUUGUUAUAUAUUACAUAUUUGUGUUUGUUUUGUAUAUAUCAUCUUUCCUUUAGCUUUAGAUAAUUUUUAUUGGUGGAGAGCAGUGCUGGGCCUUGAACUCAGGGCCUCCUGCAUGCCAGGCAAGCACUCUACCACUGAGCUAUACCUCAGUCUAAUUUUAGAGACUUUUGAGCAUACAUCCAACUGAACAGAAUAAUAUCAUGAACUACCACACACCUGUCCAGCCCAGAGGCCUAAUCAACCCCAAAUCCAUGUACAUCAAUUUAUCCCACCUUCUGUUAUUUAUCUUCUAUGAUUCUAAACAAAUCUCAGAAACCACACUGUUUCAUCUGUAAAUCACUCAAUAUACUUUUGGUAUCAUAACUACAAUGUCAUCAUACAUCAAAACAAAUAAUUCCUAAUGUUCAGAUUUCCUAAUUGCCUCAAAAUUGUCAUACAUGAAUAUUUUUUAAAAUUUUAAUUUGUUUUAGUCUACAGGUUACUCUUUUUUUUUCUUGGACUUUAUUUGUUGAAAGCACUGGGUUAUCUUGUAGAUUUGCCUACAAUAUAGAGUUUGCUGUGAUAUAGUUUAACAAGCUCUCUGUCCCUGGCUUUCCUGUAAAUUGGCACUUGACACUCAAGCUGACUUACAUUCAUGUUUGAUUUUAGUAGCAGGAUUUCCUUCGAGCAAGAGGCACAGAGUGGUUGGCUCUUCCCGUGAUAUUAGACGCUAUAGAUAAUCAAUGCCUGAAUACUUUUGGUUCAUAAGACAUUUCAAAAUUAUUUUUGCUCAUUAAACAUUUCAAAAUAUUUUGGUAUGUUUCAUAUGAAAUUUCAUAUGAAAGGAGGAAUGAGAGAAUCAGAUAUUUACCUAUAUUGAAUACUCAGGGUAAUUGCUGUAUUUACCCCAUUUAUUUACC